rnacentral:rRNA from 1 species
UACGUAGGCAGCAAGCGUUGUUCGGAAUUACUGGGCGUAAAGCGCGUGUAGGCGGCUAAGUAAGUCGGGCGUGAAAUCCCACGGCUCAACCGUGGAAGUGCACUCGAAACUGCAUAGCUAGAGUCCUGGAGAGGAAGGUGGAAUUCCUGGUGUAGCGGUGAAAUGCGUAGAUAUCGGGAGGAACACCGGUGGCGAAGGCGGCGAUCUGGGUAGAGUACUGACGCUGAGGUGGCGAAAAGCGUGGGGAGCAACAGG